rnacentral:tRNA from 1 species
GGAUAUGGCUUAGUGGUAGAGCACUUGCCUAGUUUGUGCAAGGCCCUAGGUUCAAUCUCUAGCACCA